rnacentral:rRNA from 1 species
UACGUAGGCAGCAAGCGUUGUUCGGAGUUACUGGGCGUAAAGGGUGCGUAGGCGGUUGUUUAAGUUUGGUGUGAAAUCUCCCGGCUCAACUGGGAGGGUGCGCCGAAUACUGAAUGACUAGAGUGCGGGAGAGGAUAGUGGAAUUCCUGGUGUAGCGGUGAAAUGCGUAGAUAUCAGGAGGAACACCGGUGGUGUAGACGGCUAUCUGGACC